rnacentral:piRNA from 1 species
CUGCAAUGAUGAAAAUGUAGCUACUGAGC